CCAAUCAUUGAGAGCUGUGGGCAGGAACAGACAUCUGGGGAUGGACGGGACAUGAAUCCAGAGCCUCUCAGCCAGUCUGGAAGGGUGACUCGGCUGAUGGAGAGAAAUUAUGAUGGGGUGAUCUCAUCCUCCAACUCUGAUGACAUCUCUAUCUACUCCUUCACUGACUGUGAAUCUGAGUCUGAUGAGGAUCAUGAAAGGAGGACACCACCGCUGAUAGUGAAGGAUAAGGAGGAUGGAAAGGUG